rnacentral:rRNA from 1 species
CUUCCCUAUGGGGCGCAGCAGUGGGGAAUAUUGCACAAUGGGGGAAACCCUGAUGCAGCAACGCCGCGUGAGUGAAGAAGUCAUUCGUGAUGUAAAGCUCUAUCAGCAGGGAAGAAAGAAAUGACGGUACCUGACUAAGAAGCCCCGGCUAACUACGUGCCAGCAGCCGCGGUAAUACGUAGGGGGCAAGCGUUAUCCGGAUUUACUGGGUGUAAAGGGAGCGUAGACGGCUAUGCAAGUCUGGAGUGAAAGGCGGGGGCCCAACCCCCGGACUGCUCUGGAAACUGUAGAGCUAGAGUGCAGGG